rnacentral:rRNA from 1 species
CAGCCGCCGCGGGAAUACGAGGGGGGCAAGCGUUGUUCGGAAUUAUUGGGCGUAAAGGGCGCGUAGGCGGUUUGGCAAGUUUGGUGUGAAAUCUUCGGGCUCAACUCGAAGUCUGCAUCGAAAACUGCCGGGCUUGAGUAUGGGAGAGGUGAGUGGAAUUUCCGGUGUAGCGGUGAAAUGCGUAGAUAUCGGAAGGAACACCUGUGGCGAAAGCGGCUCACUGGACCAUAACUGACGCUGAGGCGCGAAAGCUAGGGGAGCAAACAGGAUUAGAUACCCCGGUAGUCCCUGUCUCUUAUAC